UGUGAUGUCUUUCUGCUUCUUUUUUGCAUGUCAAUUUAUGCAUGGCUUUGUGUUUCUUCACAGAGAGGGAUUGGGAGGGAGGACUUACCCUCUCUCUUGCAGAGAGACCUGGUCAGGCUUGUGGUGAGGAGAGAAGAGGAACUGGUCCCCGCCUCGUGCAGGAGUCACGCUUCCUGGCUGUAUGUUCUUGGGCAAGUUGCUUCACCUCCCUGUGCCUCAGUUUUCUCAUCUCUUAAGUAGGGAUAAUAAUGUUACCUACUUUAUAGGGUUGUUGGGGGCGUUCGUGAGUUAAUCCAUGUAAAGUUUUCAGUCGAAGACCUCUCAAUAGUAAGUGUUCUGUAAAUGUUAACUAGUGAUGGUCAUAGUACAUAGUGCUCUAUAAUGUGUUUAUAUAAUAAGUAUAUAGUAAGUGUUUAAGCAGCAGCUAUUUUAAUGUUAUGAUCUCUCAUAUAAUCUCUCUUUCCUCACCUUGUCCUCCGACAGGCACCAGACUCUGACUUUAGCCACGAUUGGACAGAGGCCCAAUGCUCCGUGAAAGUUGAGUGCCGGAGAUGUAGUAGAAGGUUGCCUAGCAACAGAGGUGUUAGGGUAGACAGGAGCAGAUCCCUCAGUGGUUCCCUAAGAGGAGGAACGUAGGCAGGAUUGGACCUAUUUGAGGCAAAAUGGGAGGAGACUGACAAGGGCCACCCUGAGAGUCAGAUGGAGGAAUUUCUCAGCCCUGCUCCCCAGAGCUUCUGGACAUAGUCCAUGUCUUUCUUUUCUCGUCUGCUUCUCAUCUUCUCUUCCCUCUUCUCCUUUUCUUCCUUCCCCUCUCCUCCUUCCCUCUUCCUCCUCCUUCUUCCUCUUCUUUUACUAUGACUACUAUUACUGAUAAUAAUAACAGCUAACAUUUGCUCAGUACCUCAUCUGUUCCAGGCACUGUCCUAAGUGUUCUGCAUGAACACACUUAAGCCUCACAACCCUAGGAGAUGCUCCUACUAUUAUUCUACCUAACAGAUGAGGAAAUGAAAAGAAGCCAGCUGGGAUUCUGGGGUGGAUAUUUCUCCCUGAUAAGGACACAGAACGCAAGGAGGGAUGCUCUUUUACGCUCGAACGUGUUUGUGCUAGGACAAGAUGCUUGGAGCUGCCCCAGCCAUUAUACGAUCUGGAGGCAACAAGCCAAACAUUAAAGAUGUCAGAGUGGUAAAAUAGAAAGGGCUUGGUCCUUAUUGGCAUGCCUCGAGUGUUUGUAUAAAACCUUCCUGUUGGGCAAGACGAUUAAUUAUCUUUAUUGCUUAAGCCAGAGUUAGGUAAUCGGUUCCUUGCAACUGAGCUCAGCCUAGCUGAUAGAAUCACCCUGCCAAGGGACAGAACGUGGUAAGGCACCAAAAGCCCAUGGGUACAGGUAAAGAGGAUGCCUCUGAGAAUACUCUUUAAUUUGCCACACUUACCUUUUGAUAGCCUGGAGUCUUAUUAGAGGAGAAGAGAGAAUCAGGGGAAAGAAAAAAGCACGAGAUGUCUCAUUUCAGUACAGGGCACGUGAAGGGGCCAAAGUUGACUGGGGGACUGUGGUCUUCUCUAGGGCUCUGUAGCUGGAGAGAGACCAUAUAUCUCAUCAGCUACCUUGGAAGAAGGUAGACGCUUUGAUAUCCACUUUAUCCCCCCAGGUGCCAGUUUCCUUCCAGCAUUCCAGCAUUCCUCACCGGACUCUCUUUGUCUCCCUGGAGGAGCCCCGAGAUGGUGCCAUAAGAGCAAGUGAACAUCCUUCCUCUUCAUUGCCUGGUUGACUGUAGUUCCUCAGGGAACAUACUCCCUUUCUCAGCACCUAGAGGAAGGAUAGUGGUACCAAGGAUCCGCACCAUCCUCUUUAGCAGAACCUGUAGGUUGGUUCACUCGACCCCAGCCAUAACUCUUACCUCCUAUAUAUUUCUCUAUUGUAGAAGCUGGAAAGUGGAAGACUAGAAAGAUUAGAAGAUGCAAGAGAAAAGGCCACGUGAGGACACAAUGAGAAAACAGUCAUCUGCAAGCCAGAAAGUGAGCUCUCACAAGAAAGCAACCUACCAGCACCUUGAUCUUGCAUUUCUAGCUUCCAGAAUUAUGGGAAAUAAAUUUCUGUUGUUUAAGCUACCUUUUGGUUAUUGUGAAUAACGCUGCUAUGAACACAGGAUAUAUUGCAUUUAUACAGUGUGUCUCCUCUUGACUGCAACAGUUUCUCAGACUCUCCUUGUUUUGAAUGACCUUGACGAUGUUGAGGGUUCCCGGUCAGGUCCCUCAGUUGAGUAGUCACUUGAGAGUGUGUCGACUGAAAAAACAAUGCACAACGUGAGAACUCUUGAGUCGUUUUAUUUGGGACCAAAUGAGGACUGUAGCCCGGGAGCCAGCGUUUCAGAGACCCCUGAGAAACUGCUCCGAAGAGGCGGGGGGAAGGAAUCUUCUUUAACUGUGGUUCAAGCGAUGGAUACAGAAAAGACUCAGCUGUUUCCGUGCCUUGCCCGGAGGCAAUGAACCGACAGCUGCAAAACAACCAAAAUAAAGUGACCUCCUGAGGAAUGAAUGGAGCGCCACCUGGAGGUGGGAGAUGAACCCUGCGGGGAGAAGCAGGAAAUGUAACCACGGGCACCCCGCAAAGAUUGAGGGUUUCCUCACAGGACCUGUUGGAGGGGAAGCAUCUGCGGACAACACGUGAGAAAACUGCGCCCUUGAGAGAGGGAGGAGGAGGACCAGAAGCGCCAGCUGUCCAGCUUUCCCAACACAACUUGUUGAAGAGACUGUCUUUUCUCCAUUGUAUAGUCUUGCCUCCUUGUUAAAGAUUAAUUGACUGUAGUACGCGGGCCUCUCACUGCUGUGGCCUCUCCCGUUGCGGAGCACAGGCUCCGGACGCGCAGGCGCAGCGGCCAUGGCUCACGGGCCCAGCCGCUCCGCGGCAUGUGGGAUCCUCCCGGACCGGGGCACGAACCCGUGUCCCCUGCAUCGGCAGGCAGACUCUCAACCACUGCGCCACCAGGGAAGCCCAAAUUGUCUAUUUUUAAUUGGUUCAUCUUUAUAGUUUCUAUUGGGUUGGCCAAAAAGUUCAUUCAUUUUGGCCAACCCAAUAGUUCCUUGUUACAAUGACCUACAUUUCUACCGAUAAUCUUUCUUAAUUCAGAUAGCAUUUUUAUUAUCUUUUUUUGAACUCAGGGUCUAGUAGGCUGGUAUUUCAUUAUUUGUUCUUUCAGAUUUCUCUUGUUCUUAUAAUUGGGAAUAGUUCCUAUGCCUUUUCAUUUUACUUAACUUUCUCUGUCUCUAUGAAUUUAGGAGAAACAGUUAUCUACUGUGGCUUUGAAGGGAUGUUUUUAUUGGGAAUGUCCCUGUGUACACUGUGUGCAUCCAAUGUUUUGCUGCGAAGGCUGGCUUUGGUAUGGGCACCAGCCACAUCUUUCCUCAGGAUGUGCUGCCCGUUAUCCCCUUGAUAGGGGGUGUUGUUGGCGUUAUAGUAUCUAGAGCUUGUGCUGGAUGUGAGGCGGGGCCUCCUCUUUGCUCUGUGGUUGUCACAGCCGUGUCGGGGGCCGGGUCUGCUCCCCAGCUGUUGGAGUAGCAGCCCUGAGGGUAGGUUUCAGUCAGGCUCCGUUGCCCUUGAGUGGGUGCCCUGCCCCAGGGGAGGUGAUUGGUGAAGCAAGUGAGUCACGUGUGGUCCCAGAGGACCUAUGCACCACCUGUGUAGAUGUUCACGGCUCUGCUCAGAAGCAGCCCAGGGUCGCACCCCUUUCUCUCUUGUGUUCAUCCCAGAUCUAGUGCAAAGCUAUGGUGUAGGGACUUCCCCGGCGGUCCAGCGGUGAAGACUCCGCGCUUCCACUGCAGGGGCCGUGGGUUCGAUCCCUGGUCGGGGAACUAAGAUCGUGCAUGCCACGUGGUGAGGUCAAAUAAAUGAAUACACAGAUAAGGCUAUGAUGGAGAGGAGGCUGGGGCUGCUCUUCGGGGCACUGUGGCUGCAGGAGUGGAAGUGGCUGCACUGCUGCCUGGGAUCUGGGCUGCCUCUGGGCCAGACUUCUCCCGGGACCUGCCCACCCCUGGUCUAGCGCUAAGCUGCACUGUGGAGCAGACAGAGCCCACUCCUGCCGGGAGACAGGCGGCUGUGUACCGCUGAGUACACCCGCCGGUGACCGUGGCUACCCCACCUGGAUCACACCCCAGGGCCUCUGGGCUGUCUCUGCGCAGCUGUAUGUAUCCUCUCCCGGAGCCUUUCUGCCUGAGAUUCGGUGCUCGGCUGCCGCGUGCUCCUGUGGUGAUAGCCUGCGCGCACUGACAGUGUCUGCUCAGCUACACCUGCCACCCCGUGUGCACGCUAACAGUGACCUUUGCGGCUCUGUCUGGCCCACAUCCCAGGUGCCCUUGUCUGUCUCUGCAGAGUCAGACCAAGUCUCUGCCCAGAUCUCACGCGUGGCUGUGGCGUGGAGUGAGCAGGGCCAGAGCGUUGGCCCCUUUGGAUUGGGAAGUGCAGCUAGGCAACAGCUGCCAGUGCAGGGCCCUCUCUGCCCUGAUUAUCAGCAAGCCAUCACACGUGCACUCAUCGGGAGUGGAGUCCAGGCUUCUCCAGCCCUCCUCUCUGCUUCUGCGGGUUUCCUGGUAGGCCAGGGGGCUUGUCUCCUCCCUGCAGGACCCCAGGACUGGUAUGCCCGGGUUAUGGCUCAACCUCUCACUUCCCAGGCUGAGGCUCCUCCUGUGUGGACCUUCUCCUCCUUACAGAUCCCUCCCAGGGGCACAGAUACUAAGCGAAGGCCUUUUUUUCCAUCCUACCCGGAUACCUGGAGAUCUUUCUGGCAGCUUUGGUUGUAUAGGAGAUCUUCUGCCAGUUUCCAGUUAGUUUUCCAUGAGAAUUGUUCCACAUGUAGAUGUUCUUGUCUUUUUUCUUUUGGCUGCACCCCGCAUGGCUUGCAGGAUCUUAGUUCCCUGACCGGGGACAGAACCUGGGCCCCCUACAGUGGAAGCACGGAGUCCUAACCACUGGACCGCCGGGAAUUCCCUUUAAAUGUACCUUGAAUGUGUUUGUGGCAGGGAGGUGAGCUCCGUCUCCCCCCACUCAGCCAUCUUCAUCCGCCUCCCGAGCCCUGGAGAUUUUAAAGAAAUCUUCCCAAGUCCACAUAACCCCAAGCUUGUAUCCAACCCUGUGUGAAAACAAAGGACUGUCCUGUUUCCACAGUUCUUAGCCUCUUCUCCGGCAUGUCCCAUGUGGAAGACAUAAGUUAAGACAACAAAACUGGACUACACUUGCUACCGCAUUUGUGAUUUUAGAGAAUAAAAGCUCAGGAAUCACGCCAUUAAAAUUAAAGACUUACUAUAGUAAUUUAAGGAGGAUGAAUACCAGAGCUGAUGUCCAUAAAAGAUAUCUGUUAGGGUCAUUGAUUUUAAUAAUAUUCGUCAAGAUGCUUUGAUCAGAACAAAAUCCCUUCUCAGACUAGCUUAGACGCAAAGGAAUUUCUGGGUUGUUUGGGGGUUUUUUGUUCUGGCUUUGGCUCAGAAGGUUCCCAGAAUGAUUGAACAAGAAAGCUGUAAGAAGGGAAGAAAUGCUGAGUUUUGGAAGCAAUCAGAAGCCAAAAAUCAAAGCUGAAGGCACAAUCUCUCUGUCUCUUUUUCCCGAUGCUCUCUGAGUCAUCUUCGUGUUUCUCGGUAAAGACGAGUUUCCUCCACAUGGUGAGACAGAUGGUCCCUGAGAGCGCCCAAGUUUUAAAGAGAAUGACUUCUAGGGUAAGAGGAACAGAGAGACACUCCCCCGCUUCCCCAUCCUGAUGACAAGAUGCUGUGACUUAAGCACCUUGUCAACCAGGCUGGGUGGCUCGGUGAGGAGGGGAGCAAAGUGCGUUCUCCUUCGCAUGCACCAACCCUAGAGAAUAUGAUCUCGGACGGCCUUGGCCUGCAGAGGCUUGAAGCAGGAUUUCAGUUCCCGGCCAGAGAUUGAGGUCAGACCGCAGCAGUGAGGGCGCUGAAUCCUAACCUCUAGACCAGUGGCCAGUGACAAGUAGUGAAGCAAAUAAAGUGUUUAUUAGGAGGAAAAAGAGUACAUGUGAAUAGGCACACAUGGGUGGGCUCACAGAGAGAGUCGCGCCCUCGUGGUAGUUUGAAUCACUUAUGUGGGGCAUUUCUUCCGGGUUUCCUCUGGCCAGUCAUCUUGCUUUGCCUGGUUCUGAGUCCGUCCUUGGUUCAUCUCAGGGUCCUCCCAUGUAUGCUCGUGCAUCUCUCAGCCAAGGUGGAUUCUUGCGAAGAGGCCUAUGGGUAGGCUGACAUCACUCCCUUUUUGACCUCCAAGGAGCCUUUCUGCGCAUGUGUAGUCGGGAAGGUCUCCUUGACCUCGAGAGUGAGAAAUAUGUGGUCUCUUAUCUGGGCAGGGCUCCGCUCCUCCUCCCCUUCGUCUUGGAGUUAUCUGUCCACAGGGGACCAACUCCAGCUGUUCCACCUGGGGCCCAUCUAUCUCCUGCCUCCGCUUCUGGUUGAAGCUAGGAUGAAGGCAGGGCCAGCUUCAAGGGCGUGCAACCAGGGCAAAGGGGACCUCACAUUCAGCAGGAGACCCACGCUUGGGUUCUAACGCUCUGUGGUCACCAUCGUGAAGUUCUUAAUCGUGCAUCUUUGUGUUUUGCUGGUGAGUUCCGAUGGGACGAUGGAGCAUAUGCUGAGAGCUUGGAGGCGAGGCUUCUGCUCCUCCUGGCGUUCCUGCAGCCUCCCUACUUUCCUGUAUUAAUCUGUUCAGGCUGCUUUAACAAAAUGCCACAGACUGGGUGGCUGAAACAACCCAAAUCUGUUCUCUCACGGUUCUGGGGGACAGAAGUCCAAAGUCAAGUUCUGCUCCGGGCCGGUUCCUUGUGUUCCACACUGCUGUCCUGGUGUCUGGUGGGUCUCUGGGGAAGCUUUGGUGUUUCUGACCUCUGCCUUCAUCUUCACAUGGUGCUCUCCCUGUGUCCAAAUGUCCCCUUUUUACAAGGAUACAAUCGUAUUGGUUGAGGGCUCACCCUAUUCCAGUAUGACCUCGUCCUUUUAAUUAAUCUGCAAUGGCUCCCCUCUGCAAAUAAGGCAACAUUCUGAGGUACUGGGGGUUUAGGACUUCAAGAUGUGGGUUUCGGGGGUAGACAAAAUUCAGCCCAUAAGAGUGUGUGCUGGUGUGUGACUGUGUACGUGUAGAGGCUCUGUGCAGCUCGCUCUGUGGAUGUCUGUAUAGAACAGUGUGUGUGUGUGUGUGUGUGUGUGUGUCUUAUGGACCAAAUGUUUGUGCCCCACCCCCUGAAACUCAUUGUGUUGCAUCUCUAAACUCCAGUCCGGUUGUAUGUAGAAAUGGGGCCUCUAAGGAAGUAAUUAAAGGUUAAAUGAGGUCAUAAGGGUGGGGCCUUCAUCAAUAGGAUUAGUAUCAAGGGGAGGAAAGGUCACAUGAGGACACAGUGAGAAGGUAUCCAUCCGCAAGCCAGGAAGAGGGCUCUCAGCAGAAACUGAAUCCACCGACACCUUGAUCUUGGUCUUCCAGCCUCCAGAACUGAGAAAACAAAUGUCUGUUGUUUAAAUCAUCCAAUCUAUGGUAUUUUAUUGUGGCAGCUGGAGGAGACUAGUAUAGUCUGUGUGUGCAUGUGUGUGUGUGUGAGAGAGAGAGAGAGAGAGAGAGAGAGUCUGUAUAGCAGAGCCCCCCACCCCUAUUUAUUGUUUGCCUUCCUGUAAAUCCAGAGUGUGUCUUCUCUUUCCUUGCCUCCAAGCAUCCUGACCCCUCACUCUCCUCCACCUUCUGUCUUCUCCUUGAGCCUCCCACAACACAUACACACACACGUGUGCACACACAUGCAAACACACAUACAUAUAUGGACACAUAAACCCACACACGGCGUGAGAGCAAAGAGGCAGACACACCCUAGGGAGAAACAAAGGAGGUGGGGGAAUCGGGGAUAGGCCAGGGACCCGAGAGUCGGGAGACCUCUCUGCUCUUGGCCCCCUUUCCCCCCUGCUCCACCCACUUUUCUUCACUGUAUUUUACAGUCAGCAAUGGCAAAGGUGCAGGCAAGAAAUCUUCCUAGGAAACCGGCCCCAUCCAAGUUGCAGAACAGCUGGGACUCUUUUCGAAAGAGAUGCUGGCUGGGCCCCCUCCCUUGGACAAACCCACUGUAGGAUACAUGGCCCCAGAGACUUAGCACAUCAAAGAUGGAAAGGACUGCAGAAACCAUCCUAUCCUGCUUGUCUCUCACUUUUAAAGAUCUGAAAACUGAGAAAGGGGUUUAAAAAAUGUCUUUCCUUGCACGCUAGAACACGCCUUUCCUGGCUUAAUUCCGUUCUUCUUCUGGUGAUUCAUUCAGAUCUCAGAAAGCAUGGGUCUAGGACAGGGGUGGGCAAACUCUGGCCCACAACUGGUGUUUAUAAAUAAAGGUUUAUUAGAACACAGCUGCCCCCGUUUGUGUAUCAUCUAUGGCUGCCUUCAUGCUGCAACAGCAGGUCCUAUGGCCCACAGAUACUGAAACUGUUGCCCUCUGGUCCUUUUCAGAAAGUUUGCUGACCUCUGGCCUGGAUUUUAGAUGAGAUCUGCCACUUCUCUCAGUACUUCUUUGAAAAAAAUAACUCCCUUUGAUUCUGACCAUCUGAGGUCCCUUCUGCUUUGUCUCUGGAUGUUCUGUCUAUCAUGUAGAUACAGUUUCUGGAGGAAAAGACACUAACCAGACCCUCUGUUAUUAUUCCUGAUAACGUGGGCAUGCAUUAAGCAAAGAUAAGACUUGGAGGUUUUCUUCUUUGCCUAUUAGUUGUAGUAUGAGUAGAAACUUGGCCUAUUCAUUUAUCUGGGUGUCCUGAGGUACAGGUUAUAAAUGAAAGGCAGGAGAAACACUUGACUUCUUUCCUCUGCGUUUUAAAAUUUUGUGAGUUGUGUUUCUAGCAUCUUCCAAAGGUAGCCAAUAAUAUCUUUUUCUAAAUGGAUCCAGUAAGUAGGAGGCCCCCUUACCUCUUUGGAUGAAAGUCUGUGAGGCUGUGAGCCUAGACUUGUCACUUCAGUUCCAGACUCAUAGGGACAGCUGGUCUGAAUAAUAAUGAUAACACAGAAAUAGAAAUAGGCGAGAGACAUAAAGAAAAAAGGCAUUUGAGUAUGUGGAUGUAUUGACUGUUGUCUGAGGAUAUCUCUAGCUGUCUUUUCCUUUGUCUGGUUACACGAUUCAGUUUAUUCCUCCAUCCCACCCUCCCUUCCUUCCUUCCUUCUUUCUUUAUUGUUGUUUUGUUUUGUUUUCUUUGGCUGCGUUGGUCUUCCUUGCUGUGCGCGGGCUUUCUGUAGUUGCGGCGAGCAGGGGCUACUCUUCGUUGCGGUGCGUGGGCUUCUCAUUGCGGUGGCUUCUCUUGCUGCGGAGCACGGGCUCUAGGUGCGCGGGCUUCAGUAGCUGUGACACGCGGGCUCAGUAGUCGUGGCGCACGGGCUAAGUUGUUCCGCGGCAUGUGGGAUCUUCCCGGACCAGGGAUCGAACCCGUGACCCCUGCGUUGGCAGGCGGAUUCUUAACCACUGCGCCACCAGGGAAGCCCCUCUUUAUUCUUUUAAAGUUUUUUCAAGUUAGGUUUUUUCUUUUGUCAUUUCCACCCAAGUGUCUGAACUAUGCUGGCAAUGGAAGGUGGUGCAGAUGAAAUAGAAAUGAUCAUAUUUCAUCAAAUUGAAGGCACGACCCCAAUGAAAAAGAACAAGCUUUUCAAUAAGGGGUCCUGGGACAAUUGACUAUCCAAAUGGAAAAAUUAGAUCUUUGCCUCAC